CCAAAGGCUCUUUUCAGAGCCACUGCACAAUCUCAAAAUAGGAGCUG
rfam:Tupaia chinensis contig173121, whole genome shotgun sequence.